rnacentral:snRNA from 1 species
AAAAAAAAAAAACGAUUAAAUCCCGAAUGAAUAAACGGGCGGUGCCAGCCUUGACUGCGGGUGGGUUGACCCCUGUGAUUUGCCCAAAUGCGGGAAACUCGACUGUAUAAUUUGUGAUACUGGGGGACUGCGUUCGCGCUAUCCCCCG